rnacentral:rRNA from 1 species
CCUACGGGAGGCAGCAAUGGGGAAUAUUGGACAAUGGGGGCAACCCUGAUCCAGCCAUGCCGCGUGUGUGAAGAAGGCCCUCGGGUUGUAAAGCACUUUCAGUGAGGAAGAACGCCUGGUGGUUAAUACCCAUCAGGAAAGACAUCACUCACAGAAGAAGCACCGGCUAACUCCGUGCCAGCAGCCGCGGUAAUACGGAGGGUGCGAGCGUUAAUCGGAAUUACUGGGCGUAAAGCGCGCGUAGGUGGCUUGAUAAGCCGGUUGUGAAAGCCCCGGGCUCAACCUGGGAACGGCAUCCGGAACUGUCAAGCUAGAGUGCAGGAGAGGAAGGUAGAAUUCCCGGUGUAGCGGUGAAAUGCGUAGAGAUCGGGAGGAAUACCAGUGGCGAAGGCGGCCUUCUGGACUGACACUGACACUGAGGUGCGAAAGCGUGGGUAGCAAACAGGAUUAGAUACCCCGGUAGUC